UGGGGAAUAUUGCACAAUGGGCGCAAGCCUGAUGCAGCCAUGCCGCGUGUAUGAAGAAGGCCUUCGGGUUGUAAAGUACUUUCAGUCGGGAGGAAGGUGUCAAGGUUAAUAACCUUGGCAAUUGACGUUACCGACAGAAGAAGCACCGGCUAACUCCGUGCCAGCAGCCGCGGUAAUACGGAGGGUGCAAGCGUUAAUCGGAAUUACUGGGCGUAAAGCGCACGCAGGCGGUUGAUUGAGUCAGAUGUGAAAUCCCCGGGCUUAACCCGGGAAUUGCAUCUGAUACUGGGCAGCUAGAGUCUUGGAGAGGGGGGUAGAAUUCCAUGUGUAGCGGUGAAAUGCGUAGAGAUGUGGAGGAAUACCGGUGGCGAAGGCGGCCCCCUGGACAAAGACUGACGCUCAGGUGCGAAAGCGUGGGGAGCAAACAGG
rnacentral:rRNA from 1 species